rnacentral:rRNA from 1 species
AACGAACGCUGGCGGCAGGCCUAACACAUGCAAGUCGAACGCCGUAGCAAUACGGAGUGGCAGACGGGUGAGUAACACGUGGGAACGUACCCUUCGGUUCGGGAGUAACUCAGGGAAACGUUAGAGCUAAUACCGGACGUACGUCCGAGAGGAGAAAGAAUUUAUUUGCCGAGGGAGUCGCCCGGCGUCUGAUUAGCUUGUUGGUGAGGUAACGGCUCACCAAGGCGACGAUCAGUAGCUGGU